GCCACAUGAUGACCUCCACAGAUGUACAUUAGUGCUCCGCGCAAAGAUGACCCCAUAUCUAUCACCCCUGUCUGAUGGCC